rnacentral:rRNA from 1 species
AAUGAACGCUGGCGGCGCGCCUAAUACAUGCAAGUCGAGCGAGAAGACGUAGCAAUACGUUUGUAAAGCGGCGAACGGGUGAGGAAUACAUGGGUAACCUACCCUCGAGUGGGGAAUAACUAGCCGAAAGGUUAGCUAAUACCGCGUACGCUCCUUGGACUUCGGUUCAGGGAGGAAAGCGAUACCGUGGGUAUCGCGCUCUUGGUUGGGCUCAUGUCCUAUCAGCUUGUUGGUGAGGAACGGCUCACCAAGGCUUCGACGGGUAGCUGGUCUGAGAGGACGAUCAGCCACACUGGCACUGCGACACGGGCCAGACUCCUACGGGAGGCAGCAGUAAGGAAUAUUGCGCAAUGGGCGAAAGCCUGACGCAGCGACGCCGCGUGGGGGAUGAAGGUCUUCGGAUUGUAAACCCCUUUCGGGAGGGAAGAUGGAACGAGCAAUCGUUCGGACGGUACCUCCAGAAGCAGCCACGGCUAACUUCGUGCCAGCAGCCGCAGUAAC